ensembl:lncRNA
CUUUAAACGUAGGUAACUGCCACAAAUCUCUAUCUCAGCGUGUGACAUGUGGACACUACGACAUACAGCUGCAGCUGUCAAUCAGAUCCACGGUCAUCCAGCAGAACCAGGACGGUAAUGAUGGUUCGGUUGACGGUCGCUUGAGAAGCCGUGGUGCUGGUGGAGGAAUCAUGUCAAGAACAUCGGUCGACCUUCCUCUCCCCCUUCAGCUCUGCUUUCCCUCCAUCUAACCCGGGGUCAGAUAAUGACGGGGCCGCCCUACUUUCCCACAGGGCUCCAACAGCUGCAUGGCCGUGGCUCAUUAGGAGCUGCUCACUAAUCAGGCGCCUCAUUAAUAGCAUGGUGCCCCCCCCCUCCCUUGAAAUACCUUUGCCUGAGAUAAGUCCCCCGACCCCCAUGACUGUCAGAGAGGGUGAGGCUGAGGAAUCUCACGUUGGUCCCGGGGCUGAGUCUGCUGCCCCGGCGGCGACCCCAGAGAGCCCCGCGGACGAACCCAAAGCGGCCGCCGUUGAGCAGAGUCCCCCCGCGCCCGUGGAGCCAAGUGUGGACGAGAAAACCGACGAAGAAGGCGACGUCUCCAACAAGACCUCUGUGGAGUCGCUGAAAGAGACCAACGAGAACAACAGCAAUAAUGCCGACUUCAAUGCGACUGGAGAUGUGAUCAGCAUCAACUUCUGGGACGUUCCUCUCAAUAGUCCGCUGUGAGACAUUUCACCUAUCUGUGCUGUUCUUCAGGAACUUGAUUGAAGGAGUGACCACGACGGAGAAGGGCACGUCUGCUCGUACCGUGUGAGAUAUUUAGCGGGCUGUUUUCUCCUUGUUAGAAACAAAUUUACUGCAGCAGAGCAGCUUUUUCCCAGUUAAACGUUAGCUGAACUCUGAGUUUUAAGCAUUUUAGUGAUUUAACGGUGACUAUUUAGUUGGUCUAUAUACUAAAUGUGAUUACGUUUGGUACUGCAGAACAGUAAUACACGUUGAAUUUCAUCUCCCAAGCCAUUCAGCUUUUAUAAACUUAUAUAAACAUAUUAUACGUGGUUUCUAACACACUGAGAUGUAGUUUUAAGCAGCCAUAAUUUACUCUUUUUGUGGAAAUAUAUUAAUAGAGUAAAAUACAUUUGUAUUAAUAUACUUUACAUUAAUCAAACCUAACUGAUAUUCUUUCAUCACAUAACGAUAAACACAUUUGUAAAUAAUGAUGUAUAAAUAAGCAAGACGUUAUAAGAUUGUCAGAUUUAAAUCAGUGUUCUUUCUUAAAUUUAUGAUGUAAUGGUAUUUUGUAACUCAUGCAUUUUGAUUUUUUCAUGUGUUUCCCAUUCAGUAGUGUGAAGGUUUAUGCUAAAAAUUGCAAUGAAUGAUGAAAAGUAUUGUAAUUUGUCUUGAAUGUUUUUUGCAAUGAAUUUCCUUUACAGUUCAUAGGCGCCAUCUUGGCUAAUCUUAACCGACCACAUUACGUAAUGAAAAAAGUGACACAAACCAGCAGGUUGUUAACUGUAAAACAAAAUGAACAAACUAAAGAUGGGUCAAUGUUUCUUUUUACCAGAAAUCAUUUUGCUUAUAAAAUAAAAUAACUUGAUCAACAUUAUAUUCAUCAUGUAACCUUCAAUCCACAAUUGUUAUUCACAUUUCUGAUUAACAUCAAUAAACUGUAUACUCGCACAUCUUUGGCCUCUAAAAAUAAUCACCAUACAGUUUUUUCUGCUCACUUUCAC